GAAAGAGAAAAAAAUGUUACAACCUGUGUGCCUGUACAAACAUAUAAUGAAUACUUUUUCAUACCUAGAGAAGACAAGAAUGCCUAUGCGUGUUGUAGACUUACUUCAACUAUCCAGGCAUCAAGCAACAGAAAAGGAAAUAAGGGUAAGGUGUCCUUAGUGGCUGCUCCAAGGGUCCUUGGAGACCCUUAUCAUGUUCAAAGUUAUCUUUACUUGUUAUUAUACCAUCACUAAACAAGGGUCACCAUGAUUUAGCUGGCAUACUAGUUAUCAUAAGGGGGCCAUAAAUCUGGUCUUUCCUCUGGUAUAACAGGACCAUCUGUCGAUUCCUUUUCUAGAUGGUCAUUGCAUAGUCAGGAAGCAUCAGCAGGAUCUCUAUCUGCAACUCUACCCUACUUUGCUCCAGAAAUACAAGAACUAGUGAUUUCUCCUGGUGACUGUUCCACACACGAACCAGAGAUAGUCUUCCUGCACAUAAGACCAGUUGCAGAUUGGCUGGCCUUCCCUUCCAUCUGCUAUUCUCCCCACCGUCCAACCUUUGUCUCGACUAUAAUCACAUGGUAUUUUCUGAGCCAAAAGUGUCCAACUGACCCAGAAUUCCUGAGCCACAACACAGAUUACAAGACCAAGCCUUGCCACUUGGCCACCACACCUGACUCUGUUUAAGAUUAAAGGGAAGGAAUGCGGAGGAGGCUUCAUCACUACAAGCAGGAGUGAAAGGACAUGUGCAUAAAACCAAGCUGUGGACAACUAGUUCGCCAUCUCGUCACAAUACCAAUGAGCCAACUUUUAUAUUCGAUGCAGAAAUACUGUCUUAUUUAUCUGAUGUUUUACAGACACCGAGUUUCCACUUAGACAGUUGUCCAGGGCCCUGAAUCACUUACUUUAAUUAUGCUAACACCAGUGAAUGCGGUCAAGAAAUUCCAAGUACCUGAUCUAAUAACACGAUCCAAGUCUUUGCCAUUUCAUGGCCAAUCUUAAGAGUUUCACUUUGAGCAGUUACUCUAAAAGUUUUCUCUUUUUUUCUGUCAUGUAGCAGAAGUGUGCUAUUGGAUACAUCACUGAUUUUAAUUUUUUUUCUUUAGGAAAAGCCAAAAUAAUACUUCAUCCUGUCUUUAAAUACAUAUUAGUGAUGUGUAGCAAAUGAGACAAAAUUUAUAAACUAAAAUGCCACCCAAAUGGUAGUUUGAUGCUUUUUGUUCUGUUUGACUCUGUUGUCAGGAAAACCAGACAUAUGUGUUGUGAAUACAUUUUUUGAAAAAAAAAAAAAAAAAAACCAAGGUCCUUGUUGAGUAAGGUACAAGUUUAUAUUACAAGGAUGAGUCAAAUGAUCCCUCAUAGGCAUGUGGCAAUUAAGCUGAUUUUUUUUUGUUACAUCCCUCUCGCUGAAUUAGCCCUUUUAUAUAAUGUCAUGUAUCCAUCAUUACAAUAUCAUACAGAAAAGUUUCACUGCCCGAAACAUUCUUUGUGCCACAUCUAUUCAUCCCUCCCUCCCUACUAACCCCUGGAAACCACUAAUCUUUUUACUAUCUUCAUAGUUAUGCCAUUCCCAGAAUGUCAUACAGUUGGAAUCAUACAGUAUGUAACCUUUUCAGAUUUGCUUCUUUCACUUAGUAAUACUCAUUGAAAGUUGCUUCGCGCGCGCGCGCGCGUGUGUG
rnacentral:lncRNA from 1 species